UGAAUUUUUGAACGUUUAAUCUUGUCUAACUAUUUGUGAGGUUUAUUGGGGUUUCCAGUAGAUAAAACCUAACCCUAUGUAUUUAUAAAUGGAGCAGAACUGUAUUUAUAGAACUUCAGAGAAUAUAUUGUUGUCUUCUUCAUAUUCUUUUAUUACUGGAGCCACCAUACAAAAUCUCUAGAGCAGAACUCUAUUUCAACUAUAAAUGACAGGAACAAAACUUUUAUAUAUUUUCUGUGUGUGUAGAUGCUUAAGCUUAAGCUUCUGUUAUUUGCUUCAGUUAGAGAUUAAAGAAGACUGAAAUUGAGUCGAUGGUGUAUAUACUUGAUAUAUAUAAAUGGUCAAAAUACGGAAGUGCUUUUAUGAAAGUCAAAUAUGCAGUUGUCUUCCUGUUUGAAUCUUCAUUGUUGAUUCCAAGUUUGCUGCUUCCAAAAAAGUGGAGAUUUGUAGUACGGACAGAACUUCAACCUAUUCAACAUAGAUCUUAAACUGACCAGACAAUAGUAUAAUAUUUUUUAUUUACGGCCUUAGAAUUGUAUUGCCACAAAAAACAGAUUUGGAAUCUCAAAGAAAGCAGGUUCUUAUGCUACAUAAUUGUUUCCUCUACUUAUAGUUAACCUCUCUAUUUUGUCGUCUCUAACAGCCAAGAUGAGUGCUCUACGCUUACGGCUCAUGCUAACUGAACUGGUGAUGUUUCUUCACCUUGAUUGACGCCACAUGUUCCCCCUGGUUGCCGCGUCGUCCUCGUCUUCGGCUUGCAAGGGACUGGAUCUGGUGUGAUUGAUUCUUCCUCUCACAAGGUUAUGAUGGCCGACAAACAGCUCCAAGUUCACGGGUCGCCAGGCUCGCCGAGUGACGCUGGCUCCAAUGGUGGUCUGUGAGCACUUGCCCAGGUCAAUUGAUAUUUGUGGUGGCCCUUCUCUGUUUUUACUUGGAAAAAUUUAGUCCGUAUGUGCCUCAGUGAUUUUUAAAAUCAAAGAAAAUGCUCUGUGCAGA